UUCGGGUGGGGAUUAGUGGCGAACGGGUGAGUAACACGUGGGCAAUCUGCCCUGCACUCUGGGACAAGCCCUGGAAACGGGGUCUAAUACCGGAUACUGACCCUCGCAGGCAUCUGCGAGGUUCGAAAGCUCCGGCGGUGCAGGAUGAGCCCGCGGCCUAUCAGCUAGUUGGUGAGGUAAUGGCUCACCAAGGCGACGACGGGUAGCCGGCCUGAGAGGGCGACCGGCCACACUGGGACUGAGACACGGCCCAGACUCCUACGGGAGGCAGCAGUGGGGAAUAUUGCACAAUGGGCGAAAGCCUGAUGCAGCGACGCCGCGUGAGGGAUGACGGCCUUCGGGUUGUAAACCUCUUUCAGCAGGGAAGAAGCGAAAGUGACGGUACCUGCAGAAGAAGCGCCGGCUAACUACGUGCCAGCAGCCGCGGUAAUACGUAGGGCGCAAGCGUUGUCCGGAAUUAUUGGGCGUAAAGAGCUCGUAGGCGGCUUGUCACGUCGGUUGUGAAAGCCCGGGGCUUAACCCCGGGUCUGCAGUCGAUACGGGCAGGCUAGAGUUCGGUAGGGGAGAUCGGAAUUCCUGGUGUAGCGGUGAAAUGCGCAGAUAUCAGGAGGAACACCGGUGGCGAAGGCGGAUCUCUGGGCCGAUACUGACGCUGAGGAGCGAAAGCGUGGGGAGCGAACAGGAUUAGAUACCCUGGUAGUCCACGCCGUAAACGGUGGGCACUAGGUGUGGGCAACAUUCCACGUUGUCCGUGCCGCAGCUAACGCAUUAAGUGCCCCGCCUGGGGAGUACGGCCGCAAGGCUAAAACUCAGAGGAAUUGACGGGGGCCCGCACAAGCGGCGGAGCAUGUGGCUUAAUUCGACGCAACGCGAAGAACCUUACCAAGGCUUGACAUACACCGGAAAACCCUGGAGAC
rnacentral:rRNA from 1 species